UAACCUGUCUCACGAUGGUCUAAUCCCAGCUCAUGUUCCGUAUUAGUGGGUGAACAAUCCAGCACUUGGUGAAUUCUGUUUCACAAUCCUAAGAAGAGCCG